rnacentral:lncRNA from 1 species
GUUAGGAUUAUGAUUCCUACUAAAAACAACAACCUUCAUAUCGAAUAAUUCGGAUAUACAAACUACAUGAGCGGAAGCUAACCUGAAUCCAUAUGUGUGGAAUUUGAUGAAACCUCAUUUUGAUGAUUGUCCUUAAGUUGUUGUGAACUCCUUUAGUCUUCCUUCAAGUUCCUCGAAGUAUACUUGUACCCACAAGAAUGUAUCCACAAUACUAACACAAUGUAUGAAAGGUUCACANNNNNNNNNNNNNNNNNNNNNGCAAGUAACCAUAGUUACUUAUGUAACCUUAGUUAGCCCAUCAUAAACUAAGGUUACCCUUUUGGGUAUCUACACAUUAGUCCUACACUUUAGUAUGAUAAUACAUUGGCCCCUUUAACAUAAUGUCCAUAAGACCACAUAAUUAGGCCAAACCAAAAGAUAGCACAUAACAUAUAAUUAUCCAUAAUUGUUCAUAUGUGUGUAGAUAUAAGUCCAUAUAUCUAGAUAUAAAUCCAUAUAUCUUACAU